rnacentral:rRNA from 1 species
AUUGAACGCUGGCGGCAGGCCUAACACAUGCAAGUCGAACGAGUGGCGGACGGGUGAGUAAUGCCUGGGAAUCUGGCUUAUGGAGGGGGAUAACGACUGGAAACUGUCGCUAAUACCGCGUACCAUAGGAUGAGCCCAGGUGGGAUUAGCUAGUUGGUGGGGUAAUGGCACACCAAGCCGACGAUCUCUAGCUGGUCUGAGAGGAUGACCAGCCACACCGGGACUGAGACACGGCCCGGACUCCUACGGGAGGCAGCAGUGGGGAAUAUUGCGCAAUGGGGGCAACCCUGACGCAGCCAUGCCGCGUGGAUGAAGAAGGCCUUCGGGUUGUAAAGUUCUUUCAGUGACGAGGCGUUACCCACAGAAGAAGCACCGGCUAACUCCGUGCCAGCAGCCGCGGUAAUAC